rnacentral:rRNA from 1 species
AAAAACAUCGCCCCCAGAUAAUAAUUGAGGGGUUUUGCCUGCCCAGUGAUAAUUUUUAUUUAACGGCUGCGGUACUCUGACCGUACAAAGGUAGCAUAAUCAUUUGCCUAUUAAUUGUAGGCUGGAAUCAAUGGCUUGACGAGGAGAAAACUGUCUUUCUUUAUAUUAUUUGAAUUUAGUUUUUUGGUGAAGAAACCAAAAUUUUGAAAUGGGACGAGAAGACCCUAUUGAGCUUUAGUUUUAAUUAUAAUUAAUUAUAAGAAUGAGCUUUGGUUGGGGCAACUAAUCUUAUAUUAAGACAAGGUUAAUAAUAAAAGAUUUAAAUCUAAAGUUGACCCACAAUUUUGUGGAAAAUAGAAAAAGUUACCAUAGGGAUAACAGCGUAAUUUUCUUUGAGAGUACAUAUUGACAAGAAAGUUUGCGACCUCGAUGUUGGAUCAAGAUAUCCUGGAGGUGUAGCCGUUUCCAAAGGUGGGUUUGUUCAACCUAUAAAAUCUUACGUGAUCUGAGUUCAGACCGGA